GAGGCUUUACUUCAGUGGUAGAGUACUUGUCUAGCAUGCAAGAGGCUCUGGGUUCAACCCCCAGUACCAUUU
rnacentral:tRNA from 1 species